AGUGAACGCUGGCGGUAGGCCUAACACAUGCAAGUCGAGCGGAUGAAGGGUGCUUGCUCCUUGUUUCAGCGGCGGACGGGUGGGUAAGGCCGAGAAACAUGGGUAUCAGUGGGGGCUAACGGGCGGAAACGGGCGCUCAUACCCCAUACGCCCUGACGGAGUAAGGGUGGGAGCUUCGGACCUUCCGCUAUCAGACGAGCCUAGGUCGGAUUAGCUAGUUGGUGGGGUAAAGGCCUACCAAGGCGACGAUCCGUAACUGGUCUGAGAGGAUGAUCAGACACACUGGAACUGAGACACGGUCCAGACUCCUACGGGAGGCAGCAGUGGGGAAUAUUGGACAAUGGGCGAAAGCCUGAUCCAGCCAUGCCGCGUGUGUGAAGAAGGUCUUCGGAUUGUAAAGCCCUUUUGUUUGGGAAGAAAAGCAGUAAGUUAAUACCUUGCUGUUUUGACGUUACCAACAGAAUAAGCACCGGCUAACUUCGUG
rnacentral:rRNA from 1 species